GGGGCGGCUCGGGGACGGGCUCCAGGGCCUUCGUGCGCCCCGCCGGCGGGAUCACCUCCCGCUCGCCGUCC
rnacentral:tRNA from 1 species